AAAAAAAGCAUUAAACGGAUACCUUGACAAAAGAUUCUAUUGGAUGUUGUACAACAAAAAUUUUAGCUGAGCUGUAAUGCUGGGACGCUGAAAUGUCCAAUAAAAGAAAUUUUUCUCUUGGAAGUUUUCAGAAAAGUGAAUUGAAACAUCUUAGUAACUUUUUAAGAAAUCAAACGAGAUACUGAAAGUAGUGGCGAACGAACUCAGUACAGGCAAAAAACAUAGAUAAAACACCAAUUGAACCUCGAGACCAGAGAAGGUUUAAGUCCUGUAGAUCGGCAAAAACUGUGUUUUUAAGUAAAAGAGGUUGUACUCUUUGAACAAUGGGGGACCACCCUCAAAGCCUAAAUUUUGGUCUUUUGAUCGAUAGUGAACGAGUACUGUGAAGGAAAGGACAUACAUCCUAGGAUGUUUUGAAAUUUAAUGCUAGCAAUCGGUUGGAGCUUUAUAAAGUGACAGCGUACCUUUUGCAUAAUGGGUCAGCGAGUUUUUAAAAAAGGCAAGCUUUUAACGAGGCGAAGAAAAUACGAAUUUUAAAAAAUAACCAGUCUUUUUUAAAAGACCCGAAACUGAGUGAUCUAACCUUGAACAGGCUGAAGACAGAGUGGUAACAUUCGUUGGAGGGCCGAACCCGUGUCUGUGGCAACAUACUGGGAUGAUUUGAGGUUAGGAGUGAAAGGCUAAUCAAACUCAGAGAUAGCUGGUUUUCUGCGAAAUCUAUUUAAGUAGAGCGAUCAAGUAAAACUUUUUGGGGUAGAGCACUUUUUAGAUGAUGGGGCAAUUUCGCUUACUGAUUUUAAGAAAACUCCGAAUACAAAAAGCUCUGAACUUGAUCAGACAGACCAUGGGUGCUAAGGUCCAUGGUCAAGAGGGAAACAGCCCAGAUUGAUCGCUAAGGUCCCAAAGAAAUCUUUCAGUUUAAGGAAGUAAGAUUACGAAGACAACUAGUAGGUCGGCUUGGAAGCAGCCAUCCUUGAAAGAAAUCGUAACAGAUCACUGGUCGAGUAAUUUUGCACCGAAAAUUUAUGGGCAUUAAAAGAUUCGCCGAAGCGGCAAACUUUUUUAAGUGGUAGCAGAACGUUCUGUGAAAUCAAUGAAGAAAAUUUGAGAAAAUUUUUCGAGAAAUCAGAAGUGAAAAUGCUGACAUGAGUAACAAAAAACAAUGUACAGAAUCAUUGUGGCUGUAAAUCCAAGGGUUUUGACGGAAGGAUUAUCCGCGUCAUGCCAUCUUUCGAUGGACAUAUUAGACGGUCCCUAAGAACGCUGAUGACAAUCAGGUUUGAUGGGUUAAACGUUUCGUUUCUUUAAAAAAAUGACAGAUUCUUAAGAUUAUUUUUAGUUUAUAGAGGAAACUAAAGGUGGUGGACGAAUUUCAGGAAAAAGUUUUUUUACUGCACAAACCGUACCUUAAACCAACACAGGUGGAUGGGUGGAAUACACUAAAGCCAAUGAGAGAAUGAUGUUGAAGGAACUCGGCAAAAUGAUUCCGUAACUUCGGAAGAAGGAAUAACCUUGCGAGGGCAACCUUGCAAGGUUGGCACAGAAUUGGGGGUAGCGACUGUUUAAUAAAAACACAGGUCUCUGCAAAUUUGUAAAAAGAUGUAUAGGGACUGACACCUGCCCGGUGCUGUAAGGUUAAACUAUGCUGUUUUGGCAGUGUACAUAAGCCUCAGUAAACGGCGGCUGUAACUCUGACGGUCCAAAGGUAGCGAAAUUCCUUGUCGGGUAAGUUCCGACCUGCACGAAUGGUGUAACGAUCUGGGCGCUGUCUCGGCCACGAGCUCGGUGAAAUUGUAGUAUCGGUGAAGAUGCCGAUUACCCGCAGUGGGACGAAAAGACCCCGUGAACCUUUACUAUAGCUUAGUAUUGGCUUUGGAUAAGUAAUGUGUAGGAUAGGUGGGAGACUUUGAAGCGGCGUCGCCAGGCGUUGUGGAGUCAUUGUUGAAAUACCACCCUUUGCUUAUCUAGAGUCUAACUUCGGAAGAAGGACAGUGCUUGGUGGGUAGUUUGACUGGGGUGGUCGCCUCCAAAAGAGUAACGGAGGCUUCUAAAGGUUCCCUCAGCACGCUUGGUAACCGUGCGCAGAGUGCAAUGGCAUAAGGGGGCUUGACUGAGAGACAUACAGGUCGAUCAGGUACGAAAGUAGAGCAUAGUGAUCCGGUGGUUCCGUAUGGAAGGGCCAUCGCUCAAAGGAUAAAAGGUACUCCGGGGAUAACAGGCUUAUCGCCACCAAGAGUUCAUAUCGACGUGGCGGUUUGGCACCUCGAUGUCGGCUCAUCGCAUCCUGGGGCUGAAGAAGGUCCCAAGGGUUUGGCUGUUCGCCAAUUAAAGCGGUACGCGAGCUGGGUUCAGAACGUCGUGAGACAGUUCGGUCCAUAUC
rnacentral:rRNA from 1 species